UCAGGUGGCUGGGCGGUCGCGGCAACUGGGCCGGAAACGGUGUUGUCGAGGAAAGUCCGGGCUCCACGGAGGCAAGGUGCCGGAUAGCGUCCGGCGGGGGUGACCCCAGGGAAAGCGCAGCAGAGAACAGACCGCCGGGCCUUCGGGCCAGGCAAGGGUGAAACGGUGCGGUAAGAGCGCACCGCCCCGACCGCAAGGAAGGGGGCUAGGCAAGCCCCACCUGGAGCAAGACCGAAUAGGGACAGACCGCAGCCUCGGCUGCACGUGCGCCUCCGCAUGCUGUCCGGGUAGGUCGCACCAGGUCGUGCGCAAGCACGAUCGCAGAUGAAUGACCGUCGCCCCGGAUCUGAUCCGGGGGACAAGACCCGGCUUACAGGCCGCCUGAUCAC
rfam:Maricaulis maris MCS10, complete genome.